GAAGUGACUAGUAUAAGCAAUUAUACGGCGAAACUGCGAAUGGCUCAUUAUAUAAGUUAUCGUUUAUUUGAUACGUACUUUCCUACUUGGAUAACCGUGGUAAUUCUAGAGCUAAUACAUGCUAAAAAUCCCGACUUCGGAAGGGAUGUAUUUAUUAGAUUAAAAACCAAUGCCCUUCGGGGCUCACUGGUGAUUCAUGAUAACUUCACGGAUCGCACGGCCUUGCGCCGGCGAUGGUUCAUUCAAAUUUCUUCCCUAUCAACUUUCGAUGUUUGGGUCUUGGCCAAACAUGGUUGCAACGGGUAACGGAGGGUUAGGGCUCGACCCCGGAGAAGGAGCCUGAGAAACGGCUACUACAUCCAAGGAAGGCAGCAGGCGCGCAAAUUACCCAAUCCCGAUACGGGGAGGUAGUGACAAUAAAUACUGAUACAGGGCUCUUUUGGGUCCUGUAAUUGGAAUGAGUACAAUUUAAAUCCCUUAACGAGGAACAAUUGGAGGGCAAGUCUGGUGCCAGCAGCCGCGGUAAUUCCAGCUCCAAUAGCGUAUAUUAAAGUUGUUGUGGUUAAAAAGCUCGUAGUUGAACCUUGGGCCUGGCUGGCCGGUCCGCCUCACCGCGUGUACUGGUCCGGCCGGGUCUUUCCCUCUGUGGAACUCCAUGCCCUUCACUGGGUGUGGCAGGGAAACAGGACUUUUACUUUGAAAAAAUUAGAGUGCUCCAGGCAGGCCUUUGCUCGAAUACAUUAGCAUGGAAUAAUAAAAUAGGACGUGUGGUUCUAUUUUGUUGGUUUCUAGGACCGCCGUAAUGAUUAAUAGGGACAGUCGGGGGCAUCAGUAUUCAAUAGUCAGAGGUGAAAUUCUUGGAUCUAUUGAAGACUAACUACUGCGAAAGCAUUUGCCAAGGAUGUUUUCAUUAAUCAGGAACGAAAGUUAGGGGAUCGAAGACGAUCAGAUACCGUCGUAGUCUUAACCAUAAACUAUGCCGACUAGGGAUCGGA
rnacentral:rRNA from 1 species